ensembl:rRNA 5S_rRNA 5S ribosomal RNA
GCUUGUGGCCGUACUACCCUGAACACACCUGAUCUCAUCUGAUCUUGGUAGCUAAGCAGGGUUGGGCCUGGUUAGUACUUGGAUGGGAGACAACCUGGGAAUACCAGGUGCUGUAAGCU